UACAGAGGGUGCAAGCGUUAAUCGGAAUUACUGGGCGUAAAGCGUGUGUAGGUGGUUUGCUAAGUCAGGUGUGAAAUCCUUGGGCUCAACCCAAGAACUGCAUUUGAUACUGGCAGGCUAGAGUGUGGAAGAGGAUGGUGGAAUUCCCGGUGUAGCGGUGAAAUGCGUAGAUAUCGGGAGGAACAUCAGUGGCGAAGGCGGCCAUCUGGUCUAACACUGACACUGAGACACGAAAGCGUGGGGAGCAAACAGG
rnacentral:rRNA from 1 species